UCAGUACUGUCAGUGGCGUAGCUUGCAUGUAUGCUCAGAUGCUCAAGCAUCCACAUCAUUUUGACAGAGGAAAAAAUAUAAAUAAAGAUAUGUUCGCAGCAGUUAAACUCAGAGGUAUCCGUAUGUAACAAGGGUUAGGAUAUGAGGAUAACAUCCAAUUAUUUCCGAUGAAGUAUGCGUGGUCUUUUAUUAAGGAUAAUUUAG
rnacentral:lncRNA from 1 species